UUCAGCACUCGUACGUUUUGACUAAUCCGGAAAAAAAAUCAUUUCACAUUUUUGAAAUAAAAAUAUGGUAACUCCAUGAAAAAAAAAAGUCGUAAACAAAUUAUUGACAAUUAAAAAAGGAGUUUAAAUUGUUUUUUAUAAUAUAAACACCAAAAGUAAAAAAUGAAAGGGGCUUCAAUACUUGCUGUAAUGGAUGAAGAAAUAAAUCAGCGGUCUACUGAAAAAAUUCGUCGCCGGACAUUGAGGAACGCAUCAGAUCCUUUAUCUCACUCAAAUGCAGAAUUUAUAACUUAUUAUCGGCUAAAUAAAGAAGCUUUUGUUUUAGUUUUGGAAAAAAUUUCUCCCCACCUCAAACGUUCCAAUAUACCGGCUAUUAUCCAGCUUGCAACAACGCUUAGGUUUUUGGCUAUUCAGCAAAGCUGUCAAUUCCGUCCAUAGAGAAUCAACAACAACCUUAUCACCUUUUACAUAGCCCCUGGCAAUAUCGUGAUGUUUAUCCAUAAAAUUGAUAAAAAUUUUGUCCUGUUUAACGUUUCGGUGUUUGCCCCUAAAGUAUAAAAUAAAUUAAAUAAACAGUU